AGCAGCCGCGGUAAUUCCAGCUCCAAUAGCGUAUAUUAAAGUUGUUGCAGUUAAAAAGCUCGUAGUUGAAUUUCGGGGUUAGUAGGUUGGUCAUGCCUCUGGUAUGUACUGGUCUCACUGAUUCCUCCUUCCUGAUGAACCUUAAUGCCAUUAAUUUGGUGUUUUGGGGAAUUUGGACUGUUACUUUGAAAAAAUUAGAGUGUUUAAAGCAAGCUAACGCUUGAAUACAUUAGCAUGGAAUAAUGAAAUAGGACGUUCGAUCCUAUUUUGUUGGUUUCUAGGAUUGACGUAAUGAUUAAUAGGGAUAGUUGGGGGCAUUAGUAUUCAAUUGUCAGAGGUGAAAUUCUUGGAUUUAUUGAAGACUAACUACUGCGAAAGCAUUUGCCAAGGAUGUUUUCAUUAAUCAAGAACGAAAGUUAGGGGAUCGAAGACGAUCAGAUACCGUCGUAGUCUUAACCAUAAACUAUGCCGACUAGGGAUCGGAUGAUGUUAAUUUUUUAAUGACUCAUUCGGCGCCUCACG
rnacentral:rRNA from 1 species